rnacentral:rRNA from 1 species
UGACGGCCGUACCAUGCUGAAUAUACCGGUUCUCGUUAGAUCACCGCAGUUAAGCAUCAUUGGGCGCGGUCAAUACUUGGUGGGUGACCACCUGGGAACACUGCGUGCCGUU